CAAGCCUUAAAAUUAAAUUAUAAUCCAAAAGUUAUCCAGAGUGGCACAGCGGUCUAAGGUACUGCAUUGCAGUGCUUGAGGCGUCACUACAGACUCGGGUUCGAUUCCAGACUGUGUUACAGCCAGCCGUGACCGGAAGACCCAUGAGGCGGCACACAAUUGGCCCAGCGUCGUCCGUGUUUGGGAAGGGUUUGGCUGGCUGGGAUUUCCUUGUCCCUAUGGACUCCUUGUGGCGGACCUGGCACCUGCAAGCUGACUUUGGUCGUCAGUUGGACGGUGUUUCCUCCGACACAUUUGUGCGGCUGGCUUCCGGGUUAAGCAAGGAGUGUAUCAAGAAGCAGUAUGGCUUGGCAGGGUCGUGUUUCGGAGGACGCAUGGCUCUCGACCUUUGCCUCUCCCGAAUCCGUAGGGGAGUUGCAGUGAUGGGACAAGACUGUAACUACCAAUUGGGGAGAAAAAGGGCAAAAAAUUAUAAUCCAAAGUAGUGUGAAAUGCACUCAUAAACUACAUGUAAAUAGUGUUUUUGCUUCUAUAAGAACUCUCCCCUGUUCUGCCACCAACUUGAGUGCAUUGCCCUCAUGAGGCAAUAUUUGCAAACACAGAAAGGGGUAUUUGGUUUUUAAAUGGUAAAAGGUUUCCGUAAUGAAUAGGGGUCCCAGUACGUUUUGUUAUUGGAAAUCGGAAAUCAAUUUGUUUUCUAAUUUAUUGGGUCACAAUUUGACAUGAAAUAACAGAAAACAAAUAACAUUAAAAUCUAUUAAAUGUUUAGAUUUUUGUUUUGUUCAUACCCAGAAGUACACGCCCCCCUCAUAGAAUAUUCAAAGAGUUUAGGGGGUGUGUUUACAGCCUAGGUUGGCAGCACAAAGAAAGGAUUAGACUGUGUGAGUGACAGGAAGAUAAAAAAUACUAAUGUUAGCUAAAAUGCAGAAUAACAACUGAACAAAGUUGGCUACUGACUACCUAGCAGGCCAGAGCUACCUGCUGCAAAAAGGGUCGUAACCAACUUCAGUGGGCAAAUGCUCUCCUUCGAUGGCCACCGGCCCGCUGGAGAAGUGUGCUUUUCACGGAUGAAUCCCAGUUUCAACUGUAUGCCGUCGUGUGGGCGAGCAGUUGGCUGAUGUCAACGUUGUGAACAGAGUGCCCCAUGGUGGCAAUGGGUUUAUGGAAUGGGCAGGCAUAAGCUACGGACAACGAACACAUUUGCAUUUUAUCGAUGGCAUUUUGAAUGCAAAGAGAUACUGUGGCGAGAUCCUGUGCCAUCACCUCAUGUUUCAGCAUGAUAAUGCACAGCCCCAUGUCGCAAGGAUCUGUACACUAAAAAUGUCCAAGUUCUUCCAUGGCCUGCAUACUCACCAAACAUGUCACCCAUUGAGCAUGUUUGGGAUGCUAUGGAUCGACUUUAUACUGAAAAUCACAUUUACUUAAGUAUUCAGACCCUUUACUCAGUACUUGGUUGUUGCACCUUUGGCAGCGAUUACAGCCUAGCGUCUAAUUAGUUAUGACGCUACAAGCUUGGCACACCUGUAUUUGGGGAGUUUCUCCCAUUCUUCUCUGCAGAUCCUCUCAAGCCCUGUCGGGUUGGAUGGGGAGCGUUACUGCACAGCUAUUUUCAGGAAUCUCCAGAGAUGUUAGAUUGGGUUCAAGUCCGGGCUCUGGCUGCGCCACUCCAGGACAUUGAGACUUGUCCCAAAGCCACUCCUGCAUUGUCUUGGCUGUGUGGUUAGGGUCAUUGUCCAGUUGGAAGGUGAACCUUCCUCCCAGUCUAACGCCCUGACCGCUCUGUUGCAGGUUUUCAUCAAGGAUCUCUCUGUACUUUUCUCCAUUCAUCUUUGCCUCGAUCCUGACUAGUCUCCCAGUCCCUGCCGCUGAAAAACAUCCUCACAGCAUGAUUCUGCCACCACCAUGCUUCACCGUAGGGGUGGUGCCAGGUUUCCUCCAGAUGUGACGCUUGGCAUUCAGGCCAAAGAGUUCAAUCUUGAUUUUAUCAGACCAGAGAAUCUUGUUUCUCAUGGUCUGAGAGUCUUUAGGUGCCUUUUGGCAAACUCCAAGCGGGCUAUAGUGUGCCUCUUACUGAAGAGUGGCUUCUGUCUGGCCACUCUACCAUAAAGGCCUGAUUGGUGGAGUGCUGCAGAGGUGGUUGUCCUUCUGGAAGGUUUUCCCAUCUCAACAGAAGAACUCUAAAGCUCUGUCAGAGGGACCAUCGGAUUCUUUGUCACCUCCCUGACCAAGCCCGUUCUCCCUCGAUUGCUCAGUUUGGUCAGGCGGCCAGCUCUAGGAAGAGUCUUGGUGGUUCCGAACUUCUUCCAUUUAAGAAUGAUGGAGGCCACUGUGUUUUUGGGGACCUUUAAUGCUGCAGAAAUGUUUUGGUACCCUUCGCCAGAUCUGUACCUCGACACAAUCCUGUCU
rnacentral:lncRNA from 1 species